AUCACUCUAAGCGGUGGAUCACUCGGCUCAUGGGUCGAUGAAGAACGCAGCAAACUGUGCGUCAUCGUGUGAACUGCAGGACACAUGAACAUCGACAUUUUGAACGCAUAUCGCAGUCCAUGCUGUUUGGUACUUUAAUUAAUUUUAUAGUGCUGCUUGGACUACAUAUGGUUGAGGGUUGUAAGACUAUGCUAAAUAAGUUGUUUAAAAAUUUUACGAAAUUUUUAAGCAUAUUGUAUAUUAUUGGAUAUGUAUAUAUAUAUAUAUUCAUAAUAUUGAUAUUAAAUGGAAACGCAUUAUCUCUCAUUGUUGUAUAUAUUUGUGUGAGAAGAACGAAGAAAAUAUAUAUUUUUUUGUCCUUUUUGAAUCAAAUAAUACUGAGGAAUGUCUAGCAUAAAAAAAUAAUUAAAGUUUUUUCAUCUAGAAUUGCCUCUUAUUAAUGUUUCGAAAGGAAAUUUUGUUGUAAAUAUAAAUAUUUAAUAUUCUUCGUGAUAUUCGUUAUAAAAUACGAAUAUUAUAAUGAUUUCAUUAUGAGAACGCUCUAUAUAUAUAAUAAUAUAGUGUAAUUAUCAUUAUAAAUUUUAAUAUACGUAUAUACAACCUCAACUCAUAUGGGACUACCCCCUGAAUUUAAGCAUAUUAAUUAGGGGAGGAAAAGAAACUAACCAGGAUUUUCUUAGUAGCGGCGAGCGAAAAGAAAUCAGUUCAGCACUAAGUCACUUUGUCUAUAUGGCAAACGUGAGAUGCAGUGUAUGGAGCGUCAAUAUUCUAGUAUGAGAAAUUAACGAUUUAAGUCCUUCUUAAAUGAGGCCAUUUACCCAUAGAGGGUGCCAGGCCCGUAUAACGUUAAUGAUUACUAGAUGAUGUUUCCAAAGAGUCGUGUUGCUUGAUAGUGCAGCACUAAGUGGGUGGUAAACUCCAUCUAAAACUAAAUAUAACCAUGAGACCGAUAGUAAACAAGUACCGUGAGGGAAAGUUGAAAAGAACUCUGAAUAGAGAGUUAAACAGUACGUGAAACUGCUUAGAGGUUAAGCCCGAUGAACCUGAAUAUCCGUUAUGGAAAAUUCAUCAUUAAAGUUGUAAUAUUUUAACAAUAUUAUAAUAAUAGUGUGCAUUUUUUCCAUAUAAGGACAUUGUAAUCUAUUAGCAUAUAACAAAUUUAUCAUAAAAUAUGACUUAUAGUUUAUUCAAAUUAUUAUGCUUGCAUUUUAACAUAGAAUAAAUGUCAUUAAUUUGAUAAAGUGUUGAUAAAUUAAAAUUAAUACAGUGCGUUAAUUUUUCGAAAUUAUAUAAUGGCAUAAUUAUCAUUGAUUUUUGUGUUUAUUAUAUGCAUUUGUAUGAUUAACAAUGCGAAAGAUUCAGGAUACCUUCGGGACCCGUCUUGAAACACGGACCAAGGAGUCUAACAUAUGUGCAAGUUAUUGGGAGAUAAACCUAAUAGCGUAAUUAACUUGACUAAUAAUGGGAUUAGUUUUUUAACUAUUUAUAGAUAAUUAACACAAUCCCGGGGCGUUCUAUAUAGUUAUGUAUGAUAAUAUUUAUAUUAUUUAUGCCUCUAACUGGAACGUACCUUGAGCAUAUAUGCUGUGACCCGAAAGAUGGUGAACUAUACUUGAUCAGGUUGAAGUCAGGGGAAACCCUGAUGGAAGACCGAAACAGUUCUGACGUGCAAAUCGAUUGUCAGAAUUGAGUAUAGGGGCGAAAGACCAAUCGAACCAUCUAGUAGCUGGUUCCUUCCGAAGUUUCCCUCAGGAUAGCUGGUGCAUUUUAAUGUUAUAUAAAAUAAUCUUAUCUGGUAAAGCGAAUGAUUAGAGGCCUUAGGGUCGAAACGAUCUUAACCUAUUCUCAAACUUUAAAUGGGUAAGAACCUUAACUUUCUUGAUAUGAAGUUUAAGGUUAUGAUAUAAUGUGCCCAGUGGGCCACUUUUGGUAAGCAGAACUGGCGCUGUGGGAUGAACCAAACGUAAUGUUACGGUGCCCAAAUUAACAACUCAUGCAGAAACCAUGAAAGGCGUUGGUUGCUUAAAACAGCAGGACGGUGAUCAUGGAAGUCGAAAUCCGCUAAGGAGUGUGUAACAACUCACCUGCCGAAGCAACUAGCCCUUAAAAUGGAUGGCGCUUAAGUUGUAUACCUAUACAUUACCGCUAAAGUAGAUGAUUUAUAUUACUUGUGAUAUAAAUUUUGAAACUUUAGUGAGUAGGAAGGUACAAUGGUAUGCGUAGAAGUGUUUGGCGUAAGCCUUCAUGGAGCUGCCAUUGGCACAGAUCUUGGUGGUAGUAGCAAAUAAUCGAAUGAGACCUUGGAGGACUGAAGUGGAGAAGGGUUUCGUGUGAACAGUGGUUGAUCACGAGUUAGUCGGUCCUAAGUUCAAGGCGAAAGCCGAAAAUUUUCAAGUAAAAAAUCAGUGAGUAAUAUUGUCAAAUCUUUUAUGAUUUUUAAAUACUUGAAUAAUUUUGAACGAAAGGGAAUACGGUUCCAAUUCCGUAACCUGUUGAGUAUCCGUUUGUUAUUAAAUAUGGGCCUCGUGCUCAUCCUGGCAACAGGAACGACCAUAAAGAAGCCGUCGAGAGAUAUCGGAAGAGUUUUCUUUUCUGUUUUAUAGCCGUACUACCAUGGAAGUCUUUCGCAGAGAGAUAUGGUAGAUGGGCUAGAAGAGCAUGACAUAUACUGUUGUGUCGAUAUUUUCUCCUCGGACCUUGAAAAUUUAUGGUGGGGACACGCAAACUUCUCAACAGGCCGUACCAAUAUCCGCAGCUGGUCUCCAAGGUGAAGAGUCUCUAGUCGAUAGAAUAAUGUAGGUAAGGGAAGUCGGCAAAUUAGAUCCGUAACUUCGGGAUAAGGAUUGGCUCUGAAGAUUGAGAUAGUCGGGCUUGAUUGGGAAACAAUAACAUGGUUUAUGUGCUCGUUCUGGGUAAAUAGAGUUUCUAUCAUUUAUGGUAGUUACUUGUUCCCCGGAUAGUUUAGUUACGUAGCCAAUUGUGGAACUUUCUUGCUAAAAUUUUUAAGAAUACUAAUUGGGUUAAACCAGUUAGUUCUUAUUAAUUAUAACGAUUAUCAAUUAACAAUCAAUUCAGAACUGGCACGGACUUGGGGAAUCCGACUGUCUAAUUAAAACAAAGCAUUGUGAUGGCCCUAGCGGGUGUUGACACAAUGUGAUUUCUGCCCAGUGCUCUGAAUGUCAAAGUGAAGAAAUUCAAGUAAGCGCGGGAAGAUAUGGGUCUGAAUAAUAGCGUAGAAGGGGAUUCAUUCCGUAAUUCGUAAAUCGUAAAAAUCAGAUCAAGUUGAUUCAAGACCUCCUCGUGGUAUCUUCUGGAUGCUAUUAGACUGAAGUUCUUUUGGUCUAAUAGUAACUAACUUGAACAGCGAAACAGUCCUAUGGGGUUGCCAGCCCCUUGGACAGUUCAGUUUGAUUGGCACUAAUAUGCAAAAUACAACGCCUCGGAUAAUAAACACUAAUUCGUUGACGAACCAAAUCCCUACGGUCUCUAGCCUAGGGGCCCAAUCUGAACAUAGUGCACUGGUUAACCCAAACAGUGGUUACCAAUGCACGAUAUGUGAAUCGUCUUUCCGUAGCAAAAGCGGACUAGGCGUUCACAUGUCACGUCGGCACAAGGACGAGUUUGAUCAACUUCGUCUGCGUACCGACCGUAAGGCACAAUGGAGUGAGGAAGAGUUGAGUAUGAUGGCAAGAAAAGAGAUCGAGCUCGCAGCAAAUGGAGAAAGAUAUCUAAAUAAGAAGCUAGCGGAAGUAUUUACGAACCGUAGCGUCGACGCUAUCAAGAAAUGUCGACAGAGGGAGAGAUAUAAGACCAAAAUCGAACAGCUAAAGGGUCAAGCUGUUCCUCUCCCAGAAGCAUUAGAAUCUGAAACCAUACAGCGCCGUCCUAGUAUACGCGAGCGAGAUCUCCUAGUAACGCCACCUAACACUCUCGGAACCACUCCAACCGAACUGUCGAACAGGGAAAUCCUGGCAGUACUACAGGGGUACCCACCUGU
rnacentral:rRNA from 1 species